rnacentral:rRNA from 1 species
CCCUUGUCGAUAUGGGCUCUUAAAGGGGAUUGCGCUGUUAUCCCUAGGGCAACUCGGUUCGUUGUUCGGCAUUGCGGAUCUUAUAGUCAGAUGUUCUGUUUCUUAGAGCGGAGCUCUUAGCUGUGGAAAAGUGCUUCCAGUCUUCAUGGGGGUUUUUUAUUUCCCCGCGGUCGCCCCAACCAAAGACAUCUAGACAGGGCAAAUUUGUUUAGUCCUUUAGUAGGGGUAUUUAACAAGGUUCGCUAAUGUCUAAAGCUCCAUAGGGUCUUCUCGUCUUAUGUUAUUAUUCCCGCUUCUGCACGGGAAGAUCAAUUUCAUUGACUUAGAAAAGGAGACAGUUAAGCCUUCGUUAUGCCAUUCAUACAGGUCUUCAUUUAAAAGACAAUUGAUUACGCUACCUUUGCACGGUCAGAA